rnacentral:rRNA from 1 species
GGGUCAGUAGGUUGGUCGUGCCACCGGUACGUACUGGUCCCACUGAUUCCUCCUUCCUGAAGAACCGUAAUGCCAUUAAUUUGGUGUUGCGGGGAAACAGGACUGUUACUUUGAAAAAAUUAGAGUGUUUAAAGCAAGCUAACGCUUGAAUACAUUAGCAUGGAAUAGUGAAAUAGGACGAUCGAUCCUAUUUUGUUGGUUUCUAGGAUUGACGUA